rnacentral:rRNA from 1 species
GACGAAGGUGGCUAGCGUUGUUCGGUAUCACUGGGCUUAAAGCGUGUGCAGGCGGAAAAGUCAGCGUCUUGUGAAAUCCCUCAGCUCAACUGAGGAAUGGCUGGAUGAACUGCUUUUCUUGAGGCAGGUAGGGGUGCAUGGAACUCUUGGUGGAGCGGUGGAAUGCGUAGAUAUCAAGAGGAACGCCAGUGGUGAAGACGGUGCACUGGGCCUGCCCUGACGCUCAGACACGAAAGCGUGGGGAGCAAACAGG